GAUCAUGGCUCACGAUGAACGCUAGCGGCAGGCCUAACACAUGCAAGUCGAGGGGCAGUACGGUGUAGCAAUACACUGGUGGCGACCGGCGCACGGGUGCGUAACGCGUAUGCAACCUACCCAUAACAGGGGGAUAACACUGAGAAAUUGGUACUAAUACCCCAUAACAUCAGGACCGGCAUCGGUUCUGGUUGAAAACUCCGGUGGUUAUGGAUGGGCAUGCGUUGUAUUAGCUGGUUGG
rnacentral:rRNA from 1 species